UGGGCCGGAGGAGGGGGAGCAGUGCCGGGUGUUCGGGAGAGGGUGGGAGGAGCCAGGAGCAUCCGUGACAGAGCUGUGGGCCCAGUCACACCCAGAAUAAACUGCCACUUGGUCAGAUGCACAGUAAGCGUCCAGCAGUAGAUGGAGCCCGCAGCCAGCUUCCUAAAUUCCCUAGACCGGAGUUUUUCUGCUACUUCUCGGAAAUUAGCGAAUCACUGUAUUUCUCAGAAUGUCUCAAGUCUCCUUUGCUCCCAGCUGAGAUCAAAAAGAGUUGCAGAGGGAGGGAGCCUGGAGAUUUGAUAAGGUUAAUUGAAGUCCCCCAAGGUCAGAUGGUUCCACCACUGGAGGUCCAGGCGGCCUAAAGUCAGGGAGAAACAGCCCCAAGCUCCGUGGGUCAGAACCGCCCCUCAGUAAGACGGGAGCCACACCUGAUAGCCUUCACUCACUUGAUGGGUGCUUCUCCCCGGUUCUCCCCAUGGAAGUGGAUGGACCUUGGCAGUGGGUCACUGGAGCUGUCCUCUGUGGUACUGAGGACAGUGUGGCAGGUGCAGAAACCUUCCUGAACCUCCCAGCUCAGCCCAGCCUCCAGCACCGCAGCCAAGGCCAUGGGUUGCAGAACAGCCAGCACUGGGGCCACCUGAACCCUGACCACAGCGUGUGGCAGAUAAUGCGUCGUGAUGCUUGAGGCGGCCACACUUUUGGAUGGUUUGUGACCAACACGUGGGAACUGAGUCGGGGAGUGGCACAGUCUGGGAGUGGCCUAGACUUACUCCACCAGGAGUUGCUUCCCUCGUGGCUGUCCAUCGUCCCUGGCCCCCUCCCUGCCAGCUGCAGUGUGUCACUUACAGCUGGUGUCAGUGUGGCACGACCCUGUGCGUCCCAUUUUCCAUUAGGUUCUUUAUUCCCUCCUGGUGGGUCAUCUUUGAUUCUCACUCAGCUUUAAUGAGUCCUCCUAGCUGUGUGUGGUAACAUGUCAAAUUAAUUUCUCCCCGCCUCGAAUGGCUUUUGUUUUUGAUUCCUCCACAUCCUCAGGAUACCUCUAGGCAUGCUGGUAUCUUCAUUCAUCUUCUGUGACUUAAAUGCAUUGAUUGCCCAGAGUGGGACAGUCCAUGUCGCACAUCUCACAGCACAGGCCACCUGAGAUAUCUCCCUACUUCCCCUACAGUGUCUACACUGACUCAAGGUGUCUCUUAAUAUCCUGUAGCAUCUAUGCUGAUCCCUAAUUCAUCUACUGGGUCUCCACGCACCUUGAAUGGAUCUACACUACUAUGGAUGUCUACAUAGUUGUCUGCAGUUUCUACACUGCCUGGUGUAUCUGGCUAGUUUCCUGGUAUGUCUACACUGACCUGAGGUGUCUCCACUGACCUAGGAAGUUUCCUUGGUCACUGGUGUGUCUACACCAGCCUCAGUUGUCCCCUUAGUUAGCUAGUGCGUCAACACUGACCUGAGAUGUUUCCUUAGUAUUAUGGUAUGUCUACUACUCUGAUGUUUCUUCCUAGAUCCCUUCGUGUGUCUACCAUCCUGAGAUCACUCUAGUCCCCUAGUUUUUAGCACUGACCCCAGUUCUCCUAGUGUGUCUACACUGCAGAUGGAGGUUUACACUGAUCAAGAUGUCUCCUAGUUCCCACAUGUCUGCGCUGACCAAAGACGUCUCCUUUGCCCCCUAGUGUGUGAACAUUUACCUCGGGUUUCUCCAUAGUUCCCUUAUGUCUGCACUUCCUGGGCCAUUUCCUUAGUACACCUGUUGUGUCUGUACUGGCCUGGGAUGUCUCAGUAAUGCCUCUGCUGUGUCUACACUGACCUGGUUGACUUCCUUCUUCCCGUUUUAUUUAUGCUAACCCUAAGUGAGUCCACAUCAGCCAGGGAUGUGUCUCUGUUACCCUGUGCACACUGAGCCUGCAGUGUUUCCCAGCUCACUUGGCCCUGCACUGACCACAUGUCUGGUGCUGACCCUGCCGUCCUCCAUGAAGCCUGCUGAGGAGGCAAAGCAGCCUGGGGCAAGGUGCCUGCAGACAAGGAGGUCCCGCUGCUGUGGGAAGAGACAGAGCCCUUCUCCCUGAAGGAGCUUCAUGCCCCUGGCCAGAAAACUGGGGGUGCCAUGCCCUAGUAGAAGGGAGGUGAGCUGGGGCAAUGGUCGCAGCAAGACCAGCCUGGGUCUCAGACAGCCCUCCUUGCAUCUCAGCUGCAGCCAGGAGGCUUCCUGCACCUUCCCACCAAGGCCUGUGGGGAACUUAGUGUCUCAGAUUUGUCUACUCUCAUCUCUGAAGUCCCCCUACUUCCCCAGAUGCUUCUCCCCUAACCUGGGUUCCUACUUCCCCAGGCGUGUUUGUUUUGACCUGGGAGGUCUCCCUAUUUCAUCAGAAGUGUCCUCCCUAAUGUGGGAUAUUUCCUUGGGGACCAUGGAUUGCCUAACAUGACCAGGAGUGUUUCUCUGAUUCUAAGGUGAGUCUAACAUGAUCAGCAUGACCCUGUUGCCCUAGGUGUUUCUGCUCUGACCAAAGAGGUCUCCCUGGCUCCCUAGGAGUAUCUUCUCUGACUUAGGGUGUCUCAUUCUCCAGGUUCGUCUGCACUAACCUUAGAUGUCUCUUAGUUCUUCAGGCUUGUCUACCAUAACCUAGGAUGUAUCCCUUAUUUCUCAGAUGUGUCCACUGAGAAUGUGGACAUAAUUUCACAGAUGUUCUGACACUAACUGGAGAUGUCUUAUUCCCAGAUGUAUCUAAUCUCACCUGAGGAGUCUCCCUAAUUACCAAAGUGUGUCUGUUGUUCAGUGAUGACUCUCUCUUUCCCCAGGUAAUCUGCCUUGACCAGUGAGGUCUCCCUAAUCUCUGAGAUGUCUCCCUAGUUCUCUGGGUAUGUCUGUUCUGAUCUGUGAUGUCUCUAUGAGAUCAGGGUAGAGAAACCAGAGACUUGGGAACAUGCUCUAGGUCAGUGUACACGUAUGGGGAAUUACUGAAACAUCCCAGGUGAAUGUAGACACACCUGUGGAAUUAGGGAGAGCACCCACAUCAAAGCAGACACACCUGGGGUAUAAGGGAGACACUCUGGGGCAGAGUAGACUCAUCUGGUCAUCACUGAUAUCCCAGCUCAGGUGGGCAAGCCUGGGAAAUCAGACAUCUGUGUCACUGUAGACACACCAGGAAAUUGGAAAGACUUCCUGGGCUAGACACAGUACACACUGAAUGAACUAGCAACAUGUCCCAGGUCAGUGUAGACACACCUAUCUGGCUCUCCCUGCACUGCUCCAUGUGAAUAUAGGGUUUUAAUUCCCCUCAGAUAGGCCAUCCUUUUUAACGUUAACAUCUGGUCAUUUGGGAUCUUUGAAACAUCUGGAUGUCUGUAAUGGCUGGAGAAACUAAGCCCAGGAGAGACAAAUACCAUAAGCCACAUCCACCUCCUUUAUUCAGGGAACUUGCUCAUUACAAUAUGUGUGGUUGUCAUGGUAACACGUGGCAGGGACAAAAACCCUAAAAGGCUUGGAGAAGAUAAUUUUAUAAGCUCAGAUUCUUGGCUGAAGUGGCUUAAACCUGAUUCUUGCUGGCUUGAGCAAACAGGGCUCCACUUUCUCUUUCAUCUUUGCUUGCACACUCGGAAAGGCCAUGUGAGUACAGGGCCAGCACAGCUGGGGCUCACACUGUCACCAGGACCACCAUCUCUUUAUCACAUGCUCUGCGGCUUCUUAACAGAAGUCCUCAUCCAGUGUCACACAGCAGCACUGAAAGGCCCAAACCCAGCUGAUUGUUCAUAUGAGCAAGUCUGGACUUUAAAUAACUACCUGACAGGCACUUAGGAUAAAUGCCACCAAGAUAAAGUACUGAAAUGAGAAUUUGACAAAUCUGAAGGUGUAGUGAGGGUGUCCCUGAGGAAGUGACAUUUAAUCCAAGACCUAAAGACUCAAUAUCAACAGGAAGACAAAGGGACACUGGGCAAGCUCUCCAGGGGUGCAUUACAUACACACAAACUCUGGGUCUGGAAAGUUGCUGACCCAUUUGAAGGACUGAUCCAGGGCAGGGCAGGAAACGUGUGUGAGAAGCAGGGGUCUUGCCAAGGUCUAGAGCACAGCAGCUACACAGGGCUCGGGGGAUUCUGCCAUCAGGACACGGAUUGGCAUGGUGGGCCUCUCAUUGGACAGAGAUGGGUUAGUUCAAACAUCAAAAAGAAUAGUGACUGCAGUGGACUAAGGGACACUGGGCACAGAAAAAAUCAACCCUCGACACCAGGAAGGAAGGUGCAGACACCACUGUUUACCUUACAGAGGUGAAUGGAUUAGAGAGGGCAAUCAACAGCAUACACCAACCUGCUAUGCCUGUGAACUGGACAGCUUCCUAGGACACACAGACGUCCACCACUGACUCAGAAAGAGACAGAAAAUCUGGUCAGACCUGUAACAAGGGGAGAGAUUGUACCAGUAAUGAAAACCUCUGAAAAGAGGGCAGCCAGGACCAGAUAGCUGCACUCGUGAACACUACUGCAUUUUAAAAGGUGACUGUGGUGCCCAGGAACCUGCUGUCACGUGGCCCCGGCAACAUUCGCCACCGAAGAAGGCACUAACAGCCAGCACAGCUCCCUCACAAAUUUCAUCAGCUUUCUACACAGUUACCACAAGUUCCUCUGUAAAUGCACCCAUUGCUCCUGCCAAGAAGUUCUUUCUCCUGCCUUGGCCUGAGGCUCCAGUUCUGAACCCAGGACUACAGAGGGUUUCCUAGGGCAGCAGGUCUCUUAAAAAAAACAUUACGCGUGUUAGUGGAAUAGGUGAGUUCAAUGUUUCAGAAGUGACAUCCUAAAGUCAGGACACAGGGUGAAAUGGUGGACAGUCAACAUUGCCCUUGACGACUACACACAGCCCCUGAAUUGCAGCAAUUAAGGACACAGCAUCCCAGUUCCUGUGGGCAGUCCCCUGGGGCCUGGGGCCAGUGUUUCCCCAGCCAAGCAUGGGGGACAGAGACAGCUCGCAGGGAAGGAGGGCCCAGAGGCUCGGCUCUCCAGGCUGCGAGCACAUUCAGCAAAGCACCACCCACCGAGCAGCGACCUGCAAGACCAGAUGAGUGGCUCAUGCCCGUCUCACGCCCUUGGCCAUGACGUUGCCCAAGCUCCCCUCGCCUGAGCCUCUCAUGACUACAGGCACCAACUUCCCAGCCCAAUCCCUAGGGUGACCGGCAGGGCCUCCACUGUGCUGCAGGCUGAGCGUGCUCUCCCACCAGGGCCCCCAGUCAGCCAGUUCUCAACCCAUCUGCCGUGCCCCUCUCCUGAUCCCAAUGUCUACCUUUGAAGGCAAGUGGAGUAUGGAAUUUAUGUCAGAGGCAUUAGCUGGGCACCUGCUCUGCUCAAGCAUGGAGUGAGUCGCUGGGGUUUGCCUUCCGGUGUGUUGAUCACAAACUGCUCACCCCUGUCCACUGAAUUCAGGGCUUUGUGUGCUGGUUGAGUGAGAGCCGGCACAGGACCUGAGCCCCUGGAGGCAGCUGCUGAAAUGUGUUCCUGGUCUCUGCAAAGAUGCAAAGUAUGCACCGUGGGCCACGAACACAUCAUUCUGUCCCCAGGGAUUCAGGGCAGAUGUCCCUGAGGCAAAGCUUCUGCUCGCCUACCACAAAGCCUGCCUGCUGAUGAGGCUGCCCUAGACAUCAGUCCCGUCCAUCACAGCCCAGCUACCAAAACAGGCGAGGGAAGCAGGCAGAUGCACCCAAAGGACACCACCCUGGGAGGAGCAGCAUUCAGCACAAGGGCUGUGUGUUCCCAUGGAGACAACAUAAAAUCCAACAGAGGAAAUGGAAGCCGAGUGUCAAGAAUUUGUUUAAUUUUAAUGGGAGUAGCACUGAAACUGCUCAUUCCCAGUGCUGUUUGAAAUGUUUGCAUGGUAACAGUAAAUGCCUUUGAUCUUGUUGGUUUUUAA